rnacentral:rRNA from 1 species
GCUUGUCUCAAAGAUUAAGCCAUGCAUGUGUUAGUAUAAACGCCUUUAUACUGUGAAACUGCGAACGGCUCAUUAUAUCAGUUAUAGUUUAUUUGAUACUUUUCGACUAUUGGAUAACCGUAGUAAUUCUAGAGCUAAUACAUGCGCCAAGUCCCGUCUUACGUCGGGAUGUAUUUAUUAGAUUUCAAUCAACACUUUUUGCUGACUCAUGAUAACUUAGCGGAUCGCAGAGGCUUCGGCCGGCGAUGAAUCAUUCAAGUUUCUGCCCUAUCAGCUUUCGAUGGUAGUGUAUUGGACUACCAUGGCGGUGACGGGUAACGAAGAAUAAGGGUUCGGUUUCGGAGAGGGAGCCUGAGAGAUGGCUACCACAUCCAAGGAAGGCAGCAGG